rnacentral:rRNA from 1 species
GUGCCAGCAGCCGCGGUAAAACGUAGGUACCGAGCGUUAUCCGGAUUUACUGGGCGUAAAGCGUGUUCAGGCGGUCUAGCAAGUCGGGCAUGAAAUCUCUGGGCUCAACCCGGAGGGGUUGUCCGAAACUGCUGGGCUUGAGGGCAGCAGAGGGUGGUGGAAUUCCGGGUGUAGUGGUGAAAUGCGUAGAUAUCCGGAGGAACACCAGUGGCGAAGGCGGCCACCUGGGCUGCACCUGACGCUCAAACACGAAAGCUAGGGGAGCGAACGGGAUUAGAAACCCUCGUAGUCC